GCAGCAGGCGCGAAACCUCCGCAAUGUGAGAAAUCGCGACGGGGGAACCCCAAGUGCCAUUCUUAACGGGAUGGCUUUUCUUGAGUGUAAAAAGCUCUUGGAAUAAGAGCUGGGCAAGACCGGUGCCAGCCGCCGCGGUAACACCGGCAGCUCUAGUGGUAGCCAUUUUUAUUGGGCCUAAAGCGUUCGUAGCCGGUUUAAUAAGUCUCUGGUGAAAUCCCGCAGCUUAACUGUGGGAAUUGCUGGAGAUACUAUUAGACUUGAGGUCGGGAGAGGUUAGAGGUACUCCCAGGGUAGGGGUGAAAUCCUGUAAUCCUGGGAGGACCACCUGUGGCGAAGGCGUCUAACUGGAACGAACCUGACGGUGAGGGACGAAAGCCAGGGGCGCGAACCGGAUUAGAUACCCGGGUAGUCCUAGCCGUAAACGAUGCGGACUUGGUGUUAGGAUGGCUUCGAGCCGCCCUAGUGCCGAAGGGAAGCUGUUAAGUCCGUCGCCUGGGAAGUACGGUCGCAAGACUGAAACUUAAAGGAAUUGGCGGGGGAG
rnacentral:rRNA from 1 species